UCGCAAUAUUUUUAUAAACUCCAUGAUGAAUCAUGUUGCCCUUCUUAAGCCCCCGCUCCCCCAACUCAAUGUUGAGCUUGUGUCAUGGUAUAUUUACAAAAGUUGUUUCGGCGUUGUUCACAACAUUGAACUGGAGAGGGGGGGGGGGAGACAAAGUUUGUUUUGUCAAUGUUCAAUAACUUUGUAAUAUUGGCUGGAAUGGUCUCAUAAGAGUUUUGUCCAAGAUUGUAGCUAAGUUAUUGUUGUCGGACGAUCAGCACUAACCGCACGCACGAAAUUAUAUAAAUUAUAUUAUAGUGUUCUCUGGAUUGUAAUUUAAAUGUCUUUUGUAUUAAAAAACAUUUAAAUGCUUUUUAGAUAAAAAAAAAUUUAAUGUUUUUUAUUGUAACUUAAAAAACAAAAAAAAACACAUUUAAAUUACAAUCCAUGCAGAGAACACUAUAAUUUGUAAAAUUAUACAAUCUAAUAACAUGCAUGGAUUACAAAUCUUCAACUCUAUUUAAAUAUAUAGAGGAUAUUACACGCCGGCGCGAAGAUAUGACUUUUAUCUUCUUGAGUCAGUUCCACCGAAUUUACCUAUGCAAAAUUCCACAGUCCCUAACACUACUUAUAACGCAAAGGAGCGCGCGUUGGUAAUUUAACGCGCGUUAAGCGACUGGGGACGAGUCAGUGCAUGGCCAGCCCGGGAUGAAUCGUGUCACGGGAAUGAAUCGUGUCAAGAAUUCUUUUUCCUGACCAUAAAAGAUAUGAACUUUGUACUGUUAUACUGGAAUCGAAUUAAUCUAAUUCAACCUUAUGUGAUAAGAGCUGCUUUAUUAA